rnacentral:rRNA from 1 species
UAUGGUUGUGCCAGCAGCCGCGGUAAUACGGAGGAUGCGAGCGUUAUCCGGAUUUAUUGGGUUUAAAGGGAGCGCAGACGGGAGAUUAAGUCAGUUGUGAAAGUUUGCGGCUCAACCGUAAAAUUGCAGUUGAUACUGGUUUCCUUGAGUGCAGUUGAGGCAGGCGGAAUUCGUGGUGUAGCGGUGAAAUGCUUAGAUAUCACGAAGAACCCCGAUUGCGAAGGCAGCUUGCUAAACUGUAACUGACGUUCAUGCUCGAAAGUGUGGGUAUCAAACAGG